CGGAGGGUGCGAGCGUUGUCCGGAAUCAUUGGGCGUAAAGGGCGCGUAGGUGGUGGGGUCAGUUCGUGGUGAAAGCGCGGGGCUCAACCCCGCGUCGGCCAUGAAUACUGCCGCACUGGAGCACUGUAGAGGCAGGCGGAAUUCCGGGUGUAGCGGUGGAAUGCGUAGAGAUCCGGAAGAACACCGGUGGCGAAGGCGGCCUGCUGGGCAGUGGCUGACACUGAGGCGCGACAGCGUGGGGAGCAAACAGGAUUAGAUACCCUGGUAGUCCACGCCGUAAACGAUGGGCACUAGGCGCUUGGGGGAGCGACCCCCCGAGGGCCGGCGCUAACGCAUUAAGUGCCCCGCCUGGGGAGUACGGCCGCAAGGCUG
rnacentral:rRNA from 1 species